rnacentral:rRNA from 1 species
AAUGAACGUUGGCGGCGUGGAUUAGGCAUGCAAGUCGAACGCUUCAUGUAGCAAUACAUGAGGAGUGGCGUAAGGGAGAGUAAUACAUAGUUAGCUACCCUCGGGUCUGGGAUAGCGGCGGGAAACUGCCAGUAAUACCAGAUGAUAUCUUCGGAUCAAAGGUGCAAUUUCGCCCGAGGAGGUGACUGUGUCCUAUCAGCUUGUUGGCGGGUAACGGCCCACCAAGGCUACGACGGGUAGUGGGCGGUGAGAGCGUCGCCCCCACCCUAC